rnacentral:misc_RNA from 1 species
GUGAAUCAUCAAAUCUUUGAACGCAAAUUGCACUCCCUGGUAUUCCGGGGAGUAUGCCUGUUUGAGGGUCGUUAGAAUAAAAAAUCUAGGCGUCGCUCUUUUUUUUAAGGGUGAUCGCAUCGGAAUUUAUUCGUCUUCAAAUGUUAAUUCAUGUAAAAGUGUCUUAAAAUUUCAUCCAUCCGGUACGAUUAAAGCGUAUUUAUGAUCAAUCUUGAUUAAAAACGCUCGAUGACUUACAAUCGCAUGUA